GGAUUUACCACAGUAAAUCAUCUUUCCUGAUUUCUAUUUAUUUUUAGAUACUAUGAUGUCUUAAGUUUGAAGAAGUUGCUUUUACAACUUUUUGAUGUUUCCUUGAUUUUUUUUUUUUUUUUUUUUUUGAGAAAUUCUGCUGUUUCUCCACACUUGAGAGGGUAUUUCAGGUGGUCUUGAGUGAUGACUAUGAGAGGGAGCAAAGAAAGUGCGGGAAAACAAGCUUCAAAUGGUGCAGCUUAGUUCAGCAUCAGCAUUUAAAUUUUUUUUUUUAUUUUAUUCCUGGGUAUGCUGGAUCUUCGCUGCUGCUCGGGCUUUUCUCUACUUGUGGAUAUAUACCCAGCAGUGGAAUUGCUGGAUCAUAAGAUUUCUCAGGAGGCAUGUAAGGUGGUCUGGUAUUCCCAUUGCUUGAAGAGUUUUCUGCAGAUACCAAACAAGUACAUUCAUUUCACAGCUUCCUGGCUUCCUGGGUGUCUGCUGUCAUCUUCACCCAGCGUCAAGCUCUGUGCAAGGCAAGACGACAGGCAUCAGACCGACAGAAGACUGUCCUCAGGAAGCUCUCUGCCCUGACCAGGGAGGGGUUUACACAGGGCAGUGACCGCCCUGGGGCUCAACGGAUACUUCCUCAGAGCUGAUC
ensembl:lncRNA